rnacentral:lncRNA from 1 species
CCCCUGCCGGUGCCCUCCCCGCCCGGCCCUAGCUCUCUCGCCUUCUCGCCCGCCCGGCGCUGGCCCUGCUGGAUCCUGCGCGCCGGGGACUGGGGGCUGGCAGUGCAGACCGAACCCGGGGCCGAGGGGCUUCUCCACAGAGCCGCCUGGGGCUCGGUGGGGGGCGCUCAGCUCGACCCCAGCUAAGGGAGCACUAGGAAGUGCGGGCGUCCCCUUCCCUGCACCCUUGCGGGGCGGGAACCGUCGACCUAGAAGAAAAAAAAAGCUGAGGCAAACUUGAUAUAAGUAGAGAGGUUAUUUGGGCCAAGUUUGAAGAUUGCAACCCGGGAGCAUAGCUUCAAGUUGCCCUGAACAUAGGAUUUGCAACAGUGACAAAGGUGAGGCCAGAGAAGUGACAAGACAGAUGCCAGUCCAGCAGGUGGGCAUGUCCAGAAAGUGCAGCCUCAGGACACGGUCUGGGAACAAAGACUGCUGGAGAGUUGGAAGCUGGCAAGAGGCUCUCAGCUGUGAAGUACCUGGGGUGGGGGAGAAGUGGUCGGAGAAAGCAGAGAACACAAUUGAAGGCACUGGUUAUUCUAGCAAGGCUUUGACUGGAAUGGCAUAUUUUCAGAUAUGACCAGACUGCUCUGAGGAAUUCAGGUUGGCUUUAUAGAGUCAAUAAAAAGCUACCUGGAAAGAGUGGCCAUGUACCUUAUCUAUACAGUUCCCUUACAAGGUUCCUGAUCUUGAGACAUUUGGCUUCACUUGAACCUGUGUUUGAAGCUUUAGUGAACAUUGUCUUUGGGAGUAAGAAGUACUAGAAAAUUUAUGGUCUCAUGGAACAAGGAAAUCAAAAAAACACCCGCCCGUGCACAAAUGGAUUUCCUGAACCCUUCUGUGCGCCAGUCCUUGGGGACGCAAAUGUGAAUGAGGCGGCGCUCUGUUGAAUUUCCGUGCCCAAACUCACCAACGUGCACAGAUACUGAUGUGGGAACACCCGCUAUAAGGUGGCCUGGAGCAGUGAAGACCCUGCUCUCUUGUGAACUCCCGCAACCAUGGCCAGCCCCCUGGGGCUCCCAGACCUUGGCAAUCAGCCCUUGUGGUUUUUAAAAAAUUUAUUUUUAUUUUUAUUUUUAGAGGCAGGGUCUCAUUAU